rnacentral:rRNA from 1 species
CCAAUAGCGUAUAUUAAAGUUGUUGCAGUUAAAAAGCUCGUAGUUGAAUUUCGGGAUCAAUAUGCCGGUCAUGCCUUGGUAUGCACUGGUAUCUUUGAUUUCUUCCUUCUGACGAACUUUGAUGUCAUUAAUUUGGUGUCAUAGGGAAUCAGGACUGUUACUUUGAAAAAAUUAGAGUGUUUAAAGCAGGCUCACGCUUG